rnacentral:rRNA from 1 species
CAAAACGACUCUCGGCAACGGAUAUCUCGGCUCUUGCAUCCAUGAAGAACGUAGCGAAAUGCGAUACGUGGUGUGAAUUGCAUAAUCCCGUGAACCAUCGAGUUUUUGAACGCAAGUUGCGCCCAAAGACUUUUGGUUGAGGGCACGUCUGCCUGGGUG